rnacentral:rRNA from 1 species
UGGGGAAUCUUGCACAAUGGGCGAAAGCCUGAUGCAGCAACGCCGUGUGAGCGAGGAAGGCCUUAGGGUCGUAAAGCUCUGUUGUUGGGGACGAAGGGCGAAGGGUUAAUAGCCCCUAGCCUGACGGUACCCUUCGAGGAAGCCCCGGCUAACUACGUGCCAGCAGCCGCGGUAAUACGUAGGUGGCAAGCGUUGUCCGGAAUUAUUGGGCGUAAAGCGCGCGCAGGCGGUCUCUUAAGUCUGAUGUGAAAGCCCACGGCUCAACCGUGGAGGGUCAUUGGAAACUGGGGGACUUGAGUACAGAAGAGGAGAGUGGAAUUCCACGUGUAGCGGUGAAAUGCGUAGAGAUGUGGAGGAACACCAGUGGCGAAGGCGGCUCUCUGGUCUGUAACUGACGCUGAGGCGCGAAAGCGUGGGGAGCAAACAGGAUUAGAUACCCCCGUAGUCC